rnacentral:lncRNA from 1 species
CAAGGUUGUUCCUCAGGGACUGCCUGGCUGGCAGUUCACACCCAUGCCCUGGUGCCAGCCUGGUGCCAGCCUGUGGCAGGACUCAGCACGUUUGAGACAGCAAGAGCCAGGUUUUAAAAACCACCCUCACACGUGGUUGUAUUUCAGUUCUUUAUGAAGCUUAUUUUGUAGACCCUGGUCAAUUUCAUUUUCAUUAAUUUGAAUUUCAACCUAACUUUCCAAGUAAAAUCCCAGUCAUGUAAGUCUAAUUGGUUACAUAAAAUAUACCGCUUCACUGUGGACCCAUGAGAUGUGUGUAGUGACCCCCCCUACCCGGCCCCCACCAGCCCAGGACAUGAAGCUCAGUCUAAAGCAAAACUAAUUCACGUCAGUGUCGCUAACUUUUCCCUGAUUUGUCAGAGAAAAUGCCAAGAAAGAAUCCAUAAAACUCAUUCAUUGUGACCCCCGUUACCACAAAAAUCUGUACAUUCAUCAAAAUUUUUUAUACAUCCAGUCUGAAGAAUUUCCAGAAAUCAGAUGGGAUAGGCCAUGCAUUUUCAUUCAUGGAAUUUUCUGAAUUCGUAUCAAAAGACUGGGUGUGGAUCACUUUGAAAUGGAGACACAUUUUGGAAGCGGAGGCUAAUGAAAGUUGGAUACAGUAUUGGUUGGAAGUGACUUAAUAUCACUCCACAGGAUCUGUCGAGAACACUUACCUGGGGCCGUGCGCGGGUGUAAACGGGACGGGGCCGGGUGAGGCUGAGCUCCCCCCUCACAGUGACAGCCUGUGCUCGAAAGGGCCUUGCAAGCACAGGUGUGCAAGACUGGUCUUUCUAGGACCCAAUCUUUGGCCAGAAAGAGCUUAAGAUUCAAUAUGUGCAUUUAUUUAAAAUAUAAAU